UACGUAGGGUGCAAGCGUUGUCCGGAAUUAUUGGGCGUAAAGAGCUCGUAGGCGGUUUGUCGCGUCUGCUGUGAAACGCGAGGCUCAACCUCGCGCCUGCAGUGGGUACGGGCAGACUAGAGUGCGGUAGGGGAGAUUGGAAUUCCUGGUGUAGCGGUGAAAUGCGCAGAUAUCAGGAGGAACACCGGUGGCGAAGGCGGGUCUCUGGGCCGUAACUGACGCUGAGACGCGAAAGCGUGGGGAGCAAACAGG
rnacentral:rRNA from 1 species